GUUGACUUUUCGCUGUAAGCUCUGCAUUCCCUUAGGAACGACUUUUGAGCAGAAAACUUACGUUGCGCUCCCUUAGGAACGGCUUUUUGUAGCUUCGUCGUACUCUGCAUCCCCUUAGGGACGUCUUUCGAGCUUCUCCCUGUUUUUUUCUUUUUUCUCGUUGCACUCGAUGGUGCAUGCCCAGUUUUUACAUUUACAUCUUCGGGGGAUACUGCUCCUGUAGAGCUGAUAUAAGAAAAAGAGAAAUUACAUGCUAUGGCCCCAUUAAAAACCUUUCUCCCCCUUUGGAAAGGAAAAGGGUGCCAUAGUAAAGAAUAAAAAAGAUUACAUUAGGUUACACAUAAUACCGCCGAAGCUCAUCCGCAUUCUAAGAUCUAGGAAUGUCGCUGUCGUCCAUAUCCUUCAGCCUGUAGGAACCGGGUCUUGACGAAGAUACUACCAGGAAAUGUAACACCCGGCUUUAAGGAACAAAGCCAGGUGCAUCUCAUACAUGCGCCAAGAAGACAACAUAUAUAAUAACAGAGUGUAUAGAGAUAAAUGUCAUAAAACAUCAGAGAAUUUAUUACAUAGCGGAAGACUUAUUACAAAAUAACAUAAUAAAGAUAAAACGAACUAAGGAUCGUCGGCGCCAAUGUCGACUGGGAAACGCCACCUAGAUCAGAUCGAACUCCUCAGUGUUAGGCGGCUCCUCCUGAACCACCUGAUCAUCUCCUGUGGGGGGGGUGUGAGACAGCAAGGGUGAGCUCACACAUGAUCAUCGCUCAACAAGUUGUGGGGAAUAAUGUGACAUGAACUCACCAAAGGUGGGAGCUCAUGUGAAGUGUAAGGCUGAUCAAUGAUAGGGGUUAAAGCUGAGCAUUGCUUUUAAGUAGUUGGUCAAAAUUUUAUUAGCAGUUACUAAGUGUAAGUAAAUACCAAACCAUAAGUAAAGUAAUAGAACAAAAUUAAUAACAAACCCAUGCAAUGCAAAUGACAAAAUUGAAUUUAAGUUCCAUAAUUUAAACAUCAGAGAGUCCUGAGCUGCUCAUGACCGUGAGCUCGGCUAGUAUACCAGUUUUACACUCUGCAGAGGUUGUACCCUUUACCCACAAGUCAUGUUACCCAUCUGCCAAGGGGUCAUGAAUCCCAUACACCUCUACCUAGGAAGCGCGACAGGGCAACACUACGAGGCCUUUACAAAGUUCCACUAGCUUCCGAAAACCCGCUACAGUUUAUGGGAAGAUCCAGUACAGGGUUCCUGGCUGACCGCCAUCGCAGCAAAAUCAACCAGGGACCUCCCCGCACUGACCUCUCCCCUACUGCCCUUGCCCCUUUCGGGUAAGGUAGUCUUCCACUAGCUUUCCUAGUUAAUCAGCCAAGGGCGUCCCAUUAAACCCUUGUGGUGGCACGUGGUUCUCAAGUUAAGCUCUAUGUUCCAAUUAACAUUAAUGAUAACAACAUGAACAUAAACAGAAUAACAACAAGAAUUGGAACAUAGAGGUGAUAAAUUAUUAUCCCAAAACCAUAUAAAGCAAUAGCAAACUACCCAAGUGAUUCAGGGGUAAACAAGGUAAUGAGAUAAACAAUCUAGGGUGACCUAUUGGGUCCCAUCAAAAUUAACCUAUGCAUGGAUAAGUGAUAUUAAAGAACAUUAUUGGGUAAAAAGUGGUCAAGGGCACAACUUGCCUGGCACUUGAGAUUCCAAUUACCAGGGUGAACUUCAGGUGACUUGAAACCUCGUGCUAGUCGUAGCAAUACAAACAAACAUGAUAUAGACAAAAUUAACAUCACACCAAACAUAAGAACAAACUGAAUAAGAAUGAUCUACGCGUUGCUACGAGACUAACGCAACUUGAAUGGAUCAAAUUAGAGUUAAAACGGAGGAGUUAUGAUUUUCUGAAGAUUAUAUGUGUUUUGUACAAGAUUAAAUAGGAUAUAGAUUUUAAUGUGACAUUCAUGUCAAAACAGUGGUACUAAUUGAUAAACAAUAUUAUUAUAAAAUUAUAGAAACUGGAAUGGGUUAAAAAGGAGCUAGUAUGAAAUUUCUAUGAAUUAUACAAGUUCUGGAAUUAUUUUUAUAUCUGAAAAUUCAUUUCUUAAAUAAAUCCCUGGUUAUAUCUCUGUUUGGGCUACAUGCGCAAAAACAGGAAAAUGCAGGGGCUUCUGCGUAAGGAAUACUAGACUCAGGCUACAGUCAACUGGAUGGCGGGUUCAUUUAUAAAGAUUUCCAGGGGCUUUUAUGCUAUUCUGACCCGCGAAGGGGUAAAAUCGCAUCUGAGCCGCACGAUCUAAAUUCUAUGGCCUAGAUUAGAUCAUCUAAUACCGAACCGGUAUGCGACCGCAACCCUCAGAUCUGAAUCCGACGGUGGCAGUUUUAAAAAGAUGGACGGGCUCCGGUCCGGCCGAUGGCGAUCGGACGUGCCACGUCGUUCCAACCGAACCGGCACGCAAGCCAUAAUCGCGCCCGUAGAUCACACCAUCGACGAUCCACGGUUCAACGGAUGCAAAGGGGGUGCGCUUGGAUCACAUCUUAACCGUGCAUCACACAUCAAUGGCCCUGGUGAUUUUCCCCCCUUACGACGGCCGGCCACGGCGGGGCAGAUGCCCGUGGCGGCGUGCCAUGGCCGGAAAUCCCAUACCGGCCCUCGGUGCACGAUUCCUCCGAACGCAAGGUGCUACAUGAAUCCUAUACGCUGGCGAAUACGGGAAGGAUGUACUCACCCGCGAUCGAAGUAGGGGCGAGCUGGACCACGGCACGCAGCGGCUUCACGGCGGAGCUGACACGGCGGCGAGCAAUUUAGUUGAAGCAGGGAGUCCAAUCCACCCGACGACGCCAUAAAAACGUCCGCCAGAAUAGGGUGAAUCCCCCCCGACCCGACAGAGGGCCCCAGAGGAUGAUGCAAGCACACAUCCAUGGCGGCGGCGCACAUCACUCCAUCGUUAUCUCCCUGUGUGCUGGCGGUGGUUCUCUUGGUGAUGGAAAAUGGUGGUCGUGGGGCGGUGGAGAUUUUAGCGGAGCCGAGCUGAUAGGAAUGAAACGCGACCCCGUAUGACUUUGUAGAGGUAGGGAUGCAGAGCUAAGGCGGUGGAAUCACCAUGAACAACUCCCGACCAACGCGGAGGUGGAAGAUGACCCGUGCGUCCCGCAUUUAGGGGCAACGCGCGCCCAUGCUCAGAGGCGCACACGGACCCGGUCGCGGAGAGCUUGGAGAAAGGGCUGGGCGGUGGUCAAAUCUCCCACGCGAGAUCCACGGCGGGAGACCAGCGAAGUCCGUUGGGAAGACGCUCCUGACGAGCUGGGCCCACAUGGUAGUUGUCGUGGUUCAGCGAUGGGAGUGAGCGACGAUCCGCGGCUACGGGGUGAGAGACCGACGACUGGGCCCAAGAAUCCGGCGACGGAAUGCGUGCGCGAAGAGAAAG
rnacentral:lncRNA from 1 species